AAGGAGUCUAACAUGUAUGCGAGUCUUUGGGUGGCAAACCCAUAGGCGCAAUGAAAGUGAAUUCAGGUGGGAUCCGCAAGGUGCACCAUCGACCGAUCCUCACGUCUUUUAAGUCGUGGAUUUGAGUAAGAGCAUACCUGUUGGGACCCGAAAGAUGGUGAACUAUGCCUGAAUAGGGUGAAGCCAGAGGAAACUCUGGUGGAGGCUCGUAGCGGUUCUGACGUGCAAAUCGAUCGUCAAAUUUGGGUAUAGGGGCGAAAGACUAAUCGAACCAUCUAGUAGCUGGUUCCUGC
rnacentral:misc_RNA from 1 species